UUGAGGCAUGGAUGGGUUAGGAUUAGGGGAUUUGGAGCUGGGGGUAUGGUGGGGGUUAGGCAUGGAGCCCCAUGGAUAUGCUUCAACCUCUCCAUCAUCGAGGAUUAGAGGUGAGGGGCUAGGCAUGCUGGCCCCAUGGAUAUACGUGGUUCUAAGUUUUACCAUUUCUACAUAUCAAUUUUGCGCUUGUUGUUUUGGUGCUAGACCAAUCCAUGUGUUGUAGUUAGAGGAUGGUGAGUGAAGAACUAAAGAUGUGGAUGGGUGUGUUUAGGAUUUUGGAGUACACAAUUUUCAUUGUCUGAUGUGUUUUCAGGAAUGGAACUUUUUUGCUGUAGUUGUCCGUUGCAAUUGGGGUGUAGGCAAGCUUGUGCUGUGGGAGCCAUGCCAUUUAGGGACGCAAUGGUGAAUGUGGGAGGGAGUUUGUGCUGUUUGUCACCACCAGAUUCGUAUGUACUACCGCUUGUGUUCGAGAAGCCAUGGGAUCGGUAGCUUAGAUUUUGGUCAUUUUCUUAGCAAUUUAGUUUAUCCAUGCUAAGAAUUUUAUAUUGAAUUUACAAGCAAUUUUAUAUGAGCCACUACCACUAUGUAGUUAUGGUUAUGUAAUAAGGGUAGGCUAUUUAGGAUUUAGGCAAUUUAGUUUAUUAUGCAAAUAUGGUAGUCUAGUUUUGUGGUUGUCUAUAACUCUAUAUGAUGGUUAUGAGAUCCAAUAUUUUACUUCUACAUUCGGUAGAUCACAAGCACCUAUGUUAUUUGUCUUAUCAUUCUUGAGACAUUAUUCAUCAUUUGGGCUAUCCGGUAACCACCUGUAUAUAUGUCGGUUCUAAAUAAUCAAUGGUAAAGAUAUUAGCUUCUAAAUUAAACAAUUUAGGAUCCACAAGGAAGCAUUAUAGGCUGUGCAAUUUAGAAAUUUAGGAACCAUGGAUAAGCAAAUUUAGUUGUAUGAUCAAUUUAGGCCACUAUUCUACAAUUACGUACAAUGCAAAAGUAAAGAAUUUGUAAUUUAACAGUUUCAGCUUUAUGUGUGCAUGUUCCUAUCAUAUUGCAGGCCAGCAAAGAAUUCACCAUGAUUAUGCAGAAGAAGCUCCAAAAUAGUUUAUGUAAACUACCUUGGACGAACUGUUCUCCCAAUGGUUUGUUGCUCUUCUUUUCUGUUGGUCCUACCUCUUUUCUGAAGUGGAGCAAGAAAGAAAUCACAGCAUUUCUCAAUCUCUGUCUAAUGAUGUGAGGAGAAGACGCUGCUACAUGGGUGAACCACACACACAUGUAUGGGCAAGACUGAAGCAGCUACCCUAUGCUCACCCUCCUCCAAAUCAGGGUCUGAUUGGUCCCAAAUUUUGUUGAUGUUUGCUACUUUGUCGGGCAAUAAUCUGAAUCUAGAAUGUUUUAAUUUCACUAUAAAGAGUAAAAGGCUGCUAUGGUCUGGGUGCCUGCCCCUCCCACAUCUCCUGGGAGUAUGGCAUAUACCAGUAUAUUAUCCAUGCAAUUUUCAUCUG